AGUGAACGCUGGCGGUAGGCCUAACACAUGCAAGUCGAACGGCAGCACAGUAAGAGCUUGCUCUUACGGGUGGCGAGUGGCGGACGGGUGAGGAAUACAUCGGAAUCUACUUUUUCGUGGGGGAUAACGUAGGGAAACUUACGCUAAUACCGCAUACGACCUACGGGUGAAAGCAGGGGAUCUUCGGACCUUGCGCGAUUGAAUGAGCCGAUGUCGGAUUAGCUAGUUGGCGGGGUAAAGGCCCACCAAGGCGACGAUCCGUAGCCCGUCUGAGAGGAUGGUCGGCCGCACUGGAACGGGAACAGCGUCCAGGCGCCUAAGGGACGCAGCAGUGGGGAAUAUUGGACAAUGGGCGCAAGCCUGAUCCAGCCAUACCGCGUGGGUGAAGAAGGCCUUCGGGUUGUAAAGCCCUUUUGUUGGGAAAGAAAAGCAGCAGGUUGAUACCCAGCUGUUCUGACGGUACCCAAAGAAUAAGCACCGGCUAACUUCGUG
rnacentral:rRNA from 1 species